rnacentral:rRNA from 1 species
AGAGUUUGAUCAUGGCUCAGAUUGAACGCUGGCGGCAUGCCUUACACAUGCAAGUCGAACGGCAGCGCGGGGCAACCUGGCGGCGAGUGGCGAACGGGUGAGUAAUAUAUCGGAACGUACCCUGGAGUGGGGGAUAACGUAGCGAAAGUUACGCUAAUACCGCAUACGAUCUAAGGAUGAAAGUGGGGGAUCGCAAGACCUCAUGCUCCUGGAGCGGCCGAUAUCUGAUUAGCUAGUUGGUGGGGUAAAGGCCUACCAAGGCAUCGAUCAGUAGCUGGUCUGAGAGGACGACCAGCCACACUGGAACUGAGACACGGUCCAGACUCCUACGGGAGGCAGCAGUGGGGAAUUUUGGACAAUGGGCGAAAGCCUGAUCCAGCAAUGCCGCGUGAGUGAAGAAGGCCUUCGGGUUGUAAAGCUCUUUUGUCAGGGAAGAAACGGUGAGGGCUAAUAUCCCUUGCUAAUGACGGUACCUGAAGAAUAAGCACCGGCUAACUACGUGCCAGCAGCCGCGGUAAUACGUAGGGUGCAAGCGUUAAUCGGAAUUACUGGGCGUAAAGCGUGCGCAGGCGGUUUUGUAAGUCUGUCGUGAAAUCCCCGGGCUCAACCUGGGAAUUGCGAUGGAGACUGCAAGGCUAGAAUCUGGCAGAGGGGGGUAGAAUUCCACGUAGCAGUGAAAUGCGUAGAGAUGUGGAGGAACACCGAUGGCGAAGGCAGCCCCCUGGGUCAAGAUUGACGCUCAUGCACGAAAGCGUGGGGAGCAAACAGGAUUAGAUACCCUAGUAGUCC